UUCAAUCUGUUAAACCCCUUCCUAUUAAAACUACAUUUCCCCCCACAUCCAAUGAAAAAUGGAGAUUCUCCUUUCUUCUCCUUUUGUUGCUAAUGUAUUUUAGAAGCUUUUUUUCACUAUUUAUUUUAUUGUCUUUUUAAAAAAUUGUCUAUUCUUGCUUGUUUGUGCCCUGCUACAACCUGAUAGUUACUCUAUCUACUUGGAAUAUAAGAGCUGGGAUGCAGAUUCUCGUUUUCUUAAUUGGAGGCCAGUUCAGAACCAGUGUUCCCCAUUAUGUGCUACCAUGCACCAGCCAUUGUGUGACCAUCCAAACAAGAGGUACCAAUUUCUGCCUCCACCUUUACUUUGCAUCUGGUCUCAGAGUUCAUCAUCCAACUUCUAGGAGUGCACAAAAGUACUUAAUUUUUAGUUUGGUGCUUCAGAGAGAAAUAGAAAUUCAUGGACUCACUGUGCAUGAACAGUAAAACUCGGCAGUUUCUAGUGUACACCUUAAGCUUCCUGUAUUGCCUAUCAAAGUGCAUGAUUUUUGCUAUGGGCAUCUAAUGCAGCUGGUCUCUGGGACCCUACUGAAUUAUUUUUUAAAUGUUGAAGUCUACCACAGAUGUCUGUCUUCACCAGUCAGAAAAGGGCAUACAGUUGCUUAAGCAACAGAAGUUUACAGACCACCCAGAUUCAUGGAGAGAGCAAGGUCCUGCAGAGACAAGGAGGCAGAAAGUUGGUGGAUGUACCAAUUCCUACAUGCGAACCUAUGACGCAAUACCAGGGCUGGGAUACAUCAUUGUACUUGGGGAUAUUGGGACAAGAGAAUAAUGAAAUAACUCUCUACUGCUGCCCAGAAUGGUGUUUUCAGAGAACUUUUGCAGCU
rnacentral:lncRNA from 1 species